rnacentral:rRNA from 1 species
AAAUUGAAGAGUUUGAUCAUGGCUCAGAUUGAACGCUGGCGGCAGGCCUAACACAUGCAAGUCGAGCGGAAACGAGUUAUCUGAACCUUCGGGGGACGAUAACGGCGUCGAGCGGCGGACGGGUGAGUAAUGCCUAGGAAAUUGCCCUGAUGUGGGGGAUAACCAUUGGAAACGAUGGCUAAUACCGCAUGAUGCCUACGGGCCAAAGAGGGGGACCUUCGGGCCUCUCGCGUCAGGAUAUGCCUAGGUGGGAUUAGCUAGUUGGUGAGGUAAGGGCUCACCAAGGCGACGAUCCCUAGCUGGUCUGAGAGGAUGAUCAGCCACACUGGAACUGAGACACGGUCCAGACUCCUACGGGAGGCAGCAGUGGGGAAUAUUGCACAAUGGGCGCAAGCCUGAUGCAGCCAUGCCGCGUGUGUGAAGAAGGCCUUCGGGUUGUAAAGCACUUUCAGUCGUGAGGAAGGCGGUGUAGUUAAUAGCUGCAUGUUUGACGUUAGCGACAGAAGAAGCACCGGCUAACUCCGUGCCAGCAGCCGCGGUAAUACGGAGGGUGCGAGCGUUAAUCGGAAUUACUGGGCGUAAAGCGCAUGCAGGUGGUUUGUUAAGUCAGAUGUGAAAGCCCGGGGCUCAACCUCGGAAUUGCAUUUGAAACUGGCAGACUAGAGUACUGUAGAGGGGGGUAGAAUUUCAGGUGUAGCGGUGAAAUGCGUAGAGAUCUGAAGGAAUACCGGUGGCGAAGGCGGCCCCCUGGACAGAUACUGACACUCAGAUGCGAAAGCGUGGGGAGCAAACAGGAUUAGAUACCCUGGUAGUCCACGCCGUAAACGAUGUCUACUUGGAGGUUGUGGCCUUGAGCCGUGGCUUUCGGAGCUAACGCGUUAAGUAGACCGCCUGGGGAGUACGGUCGCAAGAUUAAAACUCAAAUGAAUUGACGGGGGCCCGCACAAGCGGUGGAGCAUGUGGUUUAAUUCGAUGCAACGCGAAGAACCUUACCUACUCUUGACAUCCAGAGAACUUUCCAGAGAUGGAUUGGUGCCUUCGGGAACUCUGAGACAGGUGCUGCAUGGCUGUCGUCAGCUCGUGUUGUGAAAUGUUGGG